rnacentral:rRNA from 1 species
GGCACUCAUGUUGACUGACAUGAGUAGACCUCUUUGAGUAUCGGUUCUUUUCUCGUAACCAUUGUGUUAUGGAGACUGCCUAUUUGUGUGUUCUUUGGAGCGCAUAACGUGGUGAAAUCCAGUAGGUUCUAACUGUCUUUGUAUUCGCAUCGCACAGUGUGAUUGAAUCAUAA